rnacentral:rRNA from 1 species
UGGGGAAUAUUGGACAAUGGGCGCAAGCCUGAUCCAGCCAUGCCGCGUGAGUGAUGAAGGCCUUAGGGUUGUAAAGCUCUUUCGGCGGGGGACGAUAAUGACGGUACCCGCAGAAGAAGCCCCGGCUAACUUCGUGCCAGCAGCCGCGGUAAUACGAAGGGGGCUAGCGUUGUUCGGAAUCACUGGGCGUAAAAGGGCGCGUAGGCGGCUUUGUAAGUCGGGGGUGAAAGCCUGUGGCUCAACCACAGAAUUGCCUUCGAUACUGCAUGGCUUGAGACCGGAAGAGGUAAGUGGAACUGCGAGUGUAGAGGUGAAAUUCGUAGAUAUUCGCAAGAACACCAGUGGCGAAGGCGGCUUACUGGUCCGGUUCUGACGCUGAGGCGCGAAAGCGUGGGGGAGCAAACAGGAUUAGAUACCCCUGGUAGUCCACGCCGUAAACGAUGAAUGCCAGCCGUUGGGCAGCUUGCUGCUCAGUGGCGCAGCUAACGCUUUAAGCAUCCGCCUGGGGGAGUACGGUCGCAAGAUUAAAACUCAAAUGAAUUGACGGGGUCAUAGCUGUUUCCU